GAGAAAACAGCUGCAGCCAGCACAGGGAGCAGCCUCCUUCAAGCUCAUUUUGUUGGACUGCAAGGUACGCCUGAAAUCUGCUCUUCAGCUUUUCUCUUCUUAGCCAUCGAGCAUUUGUAGGCACUGCAAUGAUCAGUAGGCAAUGGUAGAGAAAGAAGUGGGAGAAGUGAGAGUGCUCCACACCUGUGUGGGCUAACCCAAUUGCAACAGCAUCUUGGAAUAUGCACGUUUCUUGAUAUAUACAGGUCUAUUGGUUGUGCCUGCUUAGGAAUUUUGGUGCUGCUUUGAUAUUUUUUUUGAAAAAG